GAGCAGCUCACAUUCUUGUUCACGAUGUAGGCGCACCAGUUCCUGGGGUGCAGGAGAGAGAGGGAGAGGGGCACGGGAUGCCGAGCGACUCCGCCUCCCACCUUCCGACAGGCUCGCUCCCGGCCCCCCGGGACGCGGCCGCCGUCGGCGAGUCUGGCCGUCCUCGCGUCGUGCCUGGGCACCAUCUGACAGUUUCCGAGGCCACGCGGGGGGCGGCAGGACAGGACAAGCCACAGCCCCGCCAAUUCCCAGAGGCUGCUGCAGCUCAGCGUCCGGCUCUAUCACUUACUGCAAUUCUCCUCCAAUUCUUGAAAGAUGAAAGAAAGAGAAGUCCCUAAGUAGAAACUACAAGGGCCAAGCAGAACAUUAUACCAUGUAAGGACAUCAUCUGUCCCUGGACUCUUAAGCGGAAGAUCAUGCAAAUAGUGGACUGAAGUCAUCCCAGCCUUCAAAAGAGCCACCGUGGGGGGGAAAUAACAGAAAGGGAUAAAAAGCUGUCUUUCGUAACCCAA
rnacentral:lncRNA from 1 species